GCAUCCAUGGAGCAGUAGUAUAGCUCAUUCCCCUCCCAUCACCUCGGGGAAAGGGAAGGACCCGGGUGCAAAUCCCGGUGGAUGCA